GUCCUUUUUUCUUUCAUACGUGUGAUUAUUGGGUUUUCAUGAGCAUAUGUGAGAUGUGCCUACCUCAAGCUUUGUUACAACGUCAGCACAUUACCCAACUGACA